AUUGAACGCUGGCGGCAGGCCUAACACAUGCAAGUCGAGCGGAGCGGCGGACGGGUGAGUAAUGCCUAGGAAUCUGCCUGGUAGUGGGGGAUAACGUCCGGAAACGGGCGCUAAUACCGCAUACUAUCAGAUGAGCCUAGGUCGGAUUAGUUAGUUGGUGGGGUAAAGGCCUACCAAGGCGACGAUCCGUAACUGGUCUGAGAGGAUGAUCAUUCACACUGGAACUGAGAAACGGCCAAGACCCCUACGGGAGGCAGCAGUGGGUAUUAUUGGCAAAUGGGCGAAAGCCUGAUCCAGACAUGCCGGGUGUGUGAAGAAGUUCUUCGGAUUGUAAAGCACGUUAAGUUGGGAGGCGUUACCAACAGAAUAAGCACCGGCUAACUCCGUGCCAGCAGCCGCGUAAUUC
rnacentral:rRNA from 1 species